AUAUUCUACAAUGCGAUAAAUGGCUAAUGGUCAAGUUAGCUCAAAACUGCUAGAAUUACAAUCCCAUGUUUACGUCUUUUAACCUGCUAGCUUGGCGAUUAGCAUACCGAGCCACAGCGCACGUUUAAAGACUCUCCGAGGGCUACAAAGACCCGCUUGCUAUUCGCCAAGCAGCAGGGCGGCGUGGCAUCUCUUUCUGCUGUGUAAAGCUCAGCGGACGCUUUUAGUGCGUUGCUACGGCAACGGAGAAUGAGGAAGAGAGGAGAGGACGGUCUGUACUGCAAGCAGUUCUGUGCAGGAGCUGGGAUCUCCUGCCAUGGCUGUGACUGGCUGCUUCGUCAUCCCCCGCCACACCCUGCUGAGGAGAAAGGACAACCACCUGACCUUCACGCUCAGCCCAGCCUGAUUUUCUCUCAGAGGUAUCCUAAAACUGAACUCUGCUGGAGUUCCUUGUGACAUUGCAGGUGAUUACUUUACUUCCACCUAAGAAAUAUGAUAUUACUAAUUACUGACAGCAUUGCUCCGCAAACCUGCCCCUGACUUGAUAGGUAAGCUUCAGAGUGUGUUUCUGUGCCGCUGUUCCUGCGUGUUUUAGAAACUGACGCUUCAAAAGAAGGAGGAAAACAGGAAAAUCUAAAUGACGGGAGAUGCCCAGAGAGGACAGGAUGUGGCGGCAGAGCUGCUAGAACAGUCUUCCCACCUUGUGGUCACACGGUGAACUGUAGCUGCCUGAACGCAUGAGCAACUGGGGGAAGAGAGAGCGAUGCGGAGGAGAGCGAUGGAGUGAGAGAGGGAGGGAGCCAGAAGGAGCGAGACAGAGAGAGCGAGAGAGAGCAAAAAGGGAGGGGAGUUUAAACUAAGUGCUAUGUUUUGGGACAGGCUAAUCUGCUAGCGAGCAGUGUGAGGAUCGGAGCGUAUUGUGUGAGCCAGUGUGCGGGGGACAGAUAAGGGAGCCAGCCAGCCCGACCCACAGACCUACCGACUGCCUGCCUUUAAUGUGCUGACUCUGGGGAGAUUUUAAAAGACAGCGUAUUGACUCCUCAGACGUGUGUUUGUGCGUGCGCGCCGGAGACCCUGGGCUCAAUCGCCUCCAACUAACAGCCACAGCCAAGCCAGAAGUGCAUUAGCAGACAAGGGAGCGAAAGAAAACAACUAAAAAGAACAAAAAAAAAAAA